ACGCACGCUGGCGGCGUGCUUAACACAUGCAAGUCGAACGGAAAGGCCCUGCUUUUGUGGGGUGCUCGUGUGGCGAACGGGUGAGUAACACGUGAGUAACCUGCCCUUGACUUUGGGAUAACUUCAGGAAACUGGGGCUAAUACCGGAUAGGAGCUCCUGCUGCCUGGUGGGGGUUGGAAAGUUUCGGCGGUUGGGGAUGGACUCGCGGCUUAUCAGCUUGUUGGUGGGGUAGUGGCUUACCAAGGCUUUGACGGGUAGCCGGCCUGAGAGGGUGACCGGCCACAUUGGGACUGAGAUACGGCCCAGACUCCUACGGGAGGCAGCAGGGGGGAAUAUUGCACAAUGGGCGGAAGCCUGAUGCAGCAACGCCGCGUGCGGGAUGACGGCCUUCGGGUUGUAAACCGCUUUCGCCUGUGACGAAGCGUGAGUGACGGUAAUGGGUAAAGAAGCACCGGCUAACUACGUG
rnacentral:rRNA from 1 species